rnacentral:rRNA from 1 species
AGCGGUCUCUUUCGGGAGACGGCGGCGGACGGGUUAGUAACGCGUGGAAACGUGCCCUUUAGUACGGAAUAUCCAUUGGAAACGAUGAUUAAUACCGUAUACGCCCUAUGGGGGAAAGAUUUAUCGCUAAAGGAUCGGCCCGCGUUAGAUUAGGUUGUUGGUGGGGUAAUGGCCUACCAAGCCUACGAUCUAUAGCUGGUUUGAGAGGAUGAUCAGCAACACUGGGACUGAGACACGGCCCACACUUCUACGGAAGGCAGCAGUAGGGAAUCUUGGACAAUGGGCGAAAGCCUGAUCCAGCCGUGCCGCGUGAGUGAUGAAGGCCCUAGGGUUGUAAAACUCUUUCGCCAGGGAAGAUAAUGACGGUACCUGGUAAAGAAACCCCGGCUAACUCCGUGCCAACACCCGCGGUAAUACGGAGGGGAUUAGCGUUGUUCGUAAUUACUGGCCGUAAAGCGCACGUAGGCGGACUAAUCGUUCAUAGGUGAUAUCCCGAGGCUCAACCUCGGAACUGCCUUGGAUACUGCUAGUCUAGAGUUCCAGAGAGGUGAGGGGAAUUCCGAGUGUAAAGGUGAAAUUCGAAGAUAUUCGAAGGAACACCAGUGCCGAAUGCGGCUCACUGAAUCGAUACUGACGCUGAGGUGCGAAAGCGUGAGGAGCAAUCAGGAUUAGAUACCUUGCUAUUCCGCGCCAUAGACGAUGAGAGCUAGUCGUCGAAAGGCAUGCUUUUCGGUGACGCAGUUAACGCGCUACGCUCUGCGCCUGUAUUAGUACGAUCGCAAGAUUAAAACUCAGAGGUAUUGACGCGGCUCGCACAAGCGGUGGAGCAUGUGAUUUAAUUCUGAGUAGCGCGCAGACCUUAACAUCCCGUGACAUCCCUGUCACGUAUCCGGAGAUGGAUUAUCUGUUAGGCUGUAGAGGUGAAGAUGCUGUAUGAUGUCGUCAGUGCUGUCGGGAAUGUCGGUUAGGCCGAUGCUAGCGCACCCUGUCUUAGUAGCAUCAUUAGUGGCAUCUAACAACUGUCGUGUAAGUCGGAUUAGUGGGGACGACGUCAAGUCUCCUGACCUUACGGAUGGGUACCACGUUGCCCAUGGCAUGUCCAUGGUUUAUGCCCCAAGCUGGUCUAAUUGUAUUGAGACCGGAAACUAGCUCUAGAGAAAGCGAACCCUGUAUCGCUGAGCACGUGAAAGGAAAGACUUCGCCGGCCGUGUAGAACAGGCCGUCACAUAGGA